rnacentral:rRNA from 1 species
GAUGAACGCUGGCGGCGUGCCUAAUACAUGCAAGUCGAGCGAACGGACGAGAAGCUUGCUUUUCUGAUGUUAGCGGCGGACGGGUGAGUAACACGUGGAUAACCUACCUAUAAGACUGGGAUAACUUCGGGAAACCGGAGCUAAUACCGGAUAAUAUUUUGAACCGCAUGGUUCAAAAGUGAAAGACGGUCUUGCUGUCACUUAUAGAUGGAUCCGCGCUGCAUUAGCUAGUUGGUAAGGUAACGGCUUACCAAGGCAACGAUGCAUAGCCGACCUGAGAGGGUGAUCGGCCACACUGGAACUGAGACACGGUCCAGACUCCUACGGGAGGCCGCAGUAGGGAAUCUUCCGCAAUGGGCGAAAGCCUGACGGAGCCACGCCGGCUGAGUGAUGAAGGUCUUCGGAUCGUAAAACUCUGUUAUUAGGGAAGAACAUAUGUGUAAGUAACUGUGCACAUCUUGACGGUAACUAAUCAGAAAGCCACGGCUAACUACGUG